rnacentral:rRNA from 1 species
UGAAGCGGGAAGAGCUCAAAUUUGAAAUCUGGUGGCCUCAGGUCAUCCGAGUUGUAAUCUAUAGAAGUGUUUUCCGUGCUGGCUCAUGUACAAGUCCCUUGGAACAGGGCGUCAUAGAGGGUGAGAAUCCCGUCCUUGACAUGAACUACCAGUGCUCUGUGAUACAUUUUCAACGAGUCGAGUUGUUUGGGAAUGCAGCUCAAAAUGGGUGGUAAAUUCCAUCUAAAGCUAAAUAUUGGCGAGAGACCGAUAGCGAACAAGUACCGUGAGGGAAAGAUGAAAAGCACUUUGGAAAGAGAGUUAAACAGUAUGUGAAAUUGUUGAAAGGGAAACGAUUGAAGUCAGUCGUGCUCUUUGGAUUCAGCCGGUUCUGCCGGUGUACUUCCUUUGAGUGGGGUCAACAUCAGUUUUGAUCGCUGGAUAAAGGCUGGAGGAACGUAGUACCCUCGGGUAAACUUAUAGCCUCCUGUCACAUACAGUGGUUGGGACUGAGGAACGCAGCACGCCUUUAUGGCCGGGAUUCGUCCACGUACGUGCUUAGGAUGUUGACAUAAUGGCUUUAAACGACCCGUCUUGA